GGCUGUGGCUCAGUGGUAGAGCGCCUGCCUAGCAUGUGUGAGGCACUGGGUUCGUUCCCCAGCACCA
rnacentral:tRNA from 1 species